UACGAGUGCCCCGAGCGUUUAUCCGGAAUCAUUGGGCGUAAAGGGUGUGUAGGUGGCAGUGUUAGUCAGUUGUUAAAACCUGGGGCUCAACCCCAGACUCGCGACUGAAACGGCACAGCUAGAGGAUGGCAGGGAUGUAUGGAACUCAUGGAGUAGGGGUGAAAUCCGUUGAUAUCAUGGGGAACACCAAAAGCGAAGGCAGUACAUUGGGCCACUCCUGACAUGAAACA
rnacentral:rRNA from 1 species